rnacentral:rRNA from 1 species
UACGAAGGGUGCAAGCGUUACUCGGAAUUACUGGGCGUAAAGCGUGCGUAGGUGGUUUGUUAAGUCUGAUGUGAAAUCCCCGGGCUCAACCCGGGAACUGCGUCCGAUACUGGCGGGCUUGAAUCCGGGAGAGGGAUGCGGAAUUCCAGGUGUAGCGGUGAAAUGCGUAGAUAUCUGGAGGAACACCGGUGGCGAAGGCGGCAUCCUGGACCGACACUGACGCUGAGGAGCGAAAGCCAGGGGAGCAAACGGG